UAUGGGUGCAAACCUAUAGGAUGCAAAUGGGUAUUCAAGAAGAAGCUUAGGCCUGAUGGUACGAUUGAAAAGUACAAGGCUCGGCUCGUGGCUAAGGGUUAUACCCAAAAGGAAGGUGAAGAUUUCUGUGAUACUUACUCACCUGUGGCUCGACUGACCACUAUUCGAGUUCUACUUUCACUAGCUGCCUCACAUGGUCUUCUCGUUCAUCAAAUGGAUGUUAAGACUGCUUUCCUGAAUGGAGAGUUGGAUGAGGAAAUUUAUAUGGAACAACCAGAUGGGUUUGUAAUAGAUGGUCAGGAAGGGAAAGUGUGCAAAUUGCUGAAGUCUUUGUACGGACUCAAGCAAGCACCCAAGCAAUGGCAUGAGAAGUUCGAAAGAACUUUAACAGCUGCAGGCUUUGUUGUGAACGAAGCUGACAAAUGUGUGUACUAUCGCCAUGGUGGGGGCGAGGGGGUUAUGCUUUGCUUGUAUGUUGAUGACAUACUGAUUUUUGGAACAAAUCUGAAUGUUAUUAAGGAGGUCAAAGAUUUUCUAUCUCGCUGUUUUGAGAUGAAAGAUUUAGGAGUGGCUGAUGUCAUUCUGAACAUCAAGUUGUUGAGAGAU
rnacentral:rRNA from 1 species